UCCUUGUCCGAUAAGCACGAAUAGAAAAGGACAAACAUCGUGUUUGUAUUACCCGCCGAAAUUGAACAAUACGGAACGCCGACUGUCAAAGUUGUCGUUAAAUUUUAACGGCUCCGAUAGUUUCUUGUAAAUUUUUCAAAGAGGAUUUUUAUCACUUUUUGAUAUUUUUGUGGGAGUUUUUCUGUGUUUACUGAGUUAUUUGUGAAUUAAUUUGUGUUUAAAAUGCCGUCCCGUUUUAGUGAAAACGAACAACGGCUCAUAUUAAAAGUUAUCCAGUAUUUCAAACUCGAAAAAAAUGCUGGAAAACCCCUUUUGCCUGUGUCGGCUGUUUACGAUAGAGCAUCGGAGGCUUUAGGAAUUUCACGCACGACUGUGCAAAGAAUCAGUUCUAGAGGAAUCGUGAAAGAUGAA